rnacentral:rRNA from 1 species
UACAGAGGUCUCAAGCGUUGCUCGGAUUCAUUGGGCGUAAAGAGCGUGUAGGCGGCCAGGUAGGUCUGCUGUGAAAACUCGAGGCUCAACCUCGAGACGUCGGCGGAAACCAUCUGGCUAGAGUCCGGAAGAGGAGAGUGGAAUUCCUGGUGUAGCGGUGAAAUGCGCAGAUAUCAGGAAGAACACCCGUGGCGAAGGCGGGUCUCUGGGCCGAUACUGACGCUGAGGAGCGAAAGCGUGGGGAGCGAACAGG